rnacentral:tRNA from 1 species
AGCUAGGUAGCAUAAUAAGGAUAAUGCAAAAGAUUGCAAAUCUUUUUAUGAUGGUUCGAAUCCAUUCCUAGCUU